rnacentral:misc_RNA from 1 species
AACCAUUCUCACCUGCGGCUAGACCUGCGGAGGGAUCAUUACAGAGAUUGAUGCACCAAGUGCAUCACCUCCAACCCCUUGCGAAAACAACUAUCAUGUGUUGCUUUGGCAGUGUUUCCACUGCCAGAGGUUUACAUAAAAUCAGCUGUUGGAUGUUGUCUGAGUAAACUAUAUGAAUUAUUUAAAACUUUCAGCAAUGGAUCU